rnacentral:rRNA from 1 species
GACGAACGCUGGCGGCGUGCUUAACACAUGCAAGUCGAACGAAGUGGCGAACGGGUGAGUAACGCGUAAUCAACCUGCCCUUCAGAGGGGGACAACAGUUGGAAACGACUGCUAAUACCGCAUACUGAAGGAGGGGAGUGCGUCUGAUGAGCUAGUUGGAGGGGUAACGGCCCACCAAGGCGAUGACCAGUAGCCGGUCUGAGAGGAUUAACGGCCACAUUGGGACUGAGACACGGCCCAGACUCCUAAGGGAGGCAGCAGGUGGGAAUCUUCCGAAAUGGACGAAAGUCUGACGGAGCAACGCGGCGUGAGUGAUGACGGCCUUCGGGUUGUAAAGCUCUGUUAAUCGGGACGCGGUACCGGAAUAGAAAGCCACGGCUAACUACGUGCCAGCAGCCGCGGUAAUUC